rnacentral:rRNA from 1 species
AGAGUUUGAUCAUGGCUCAGAUUGAACGCUGGCGGCAGGCCUAACACAUGCAAGUCGAGCGGUAGAGAGAAGCUUGCUUCUCUUGAGAGCGGCGGACGGGUGAGUAAUGCCUAGGAAUCUGCCUGGUAGUGGGGGAUAACGUUCGGAAACGGACGCUAAUACCGCAUACGUCCUACGGGAGAAAGCAGGGGACCUUCGGGCCUUGCGCUAUCAGAUGAGCCUAGGUCGGAUUAGCUAGUUGGUGGGGUAAUGGCUCACCAAGGCGACGAUCCGUAACUGGUCUGAGAGGAUGAUCAGUCACACUGGAACUGAGACACGGUCCAGACUCCUACGGGAGGCAGCAGUGGGGAAUAUUGGACAAUGGGCGAAAGCCUGAUCCAGCCAUGCCGCGUGUGUGAAGAAGGUCUUCGGAUUGUAAAGCACUUUAAGUUGGGAGGAAGGGCAGUAAAUUAAUACUUUGCUGUUUUGACGUUACCGACAGAAUAAGCACCGGCUAACUCUGUGCCAGCAGCCGCGGUA